rnacentral:rRNA from 1 species
ANNNUNNNCAUGNAUNUCNAGUAUAGCAUUAUACAGCGAAACUGCGAAUGGCUCAUUAUAUAAGUUAUCGUUUAUUUGAUAGUACCUUACUACUUGGAUAACCGUGGUAAUUCUAGAGCUAAUACAUGCUAAAAAUCCCGACUUCGGAAGGGAUGUAUUUAUUAGAUUAAAAACCAAUGCCCUUCGGGGCUCCUUGGUGAUUCAUGAUAACUUCUCGAAUCGCAUGGCCUUGUGCCGGCGAUGGUUCAUUCAAAUUUCUUCCCUAUCAACUUUCGAUGUUUGGGUAUUGGCCAAACAUGGUUGCAACGGGUAACGGAGGGUUAGGGCUCGACCCCGGAGAAGGAGCCUGAGAAACGGCUACUACAUCCAAGGAAGGCAGCAGGCGCGCAAAUUACCCAAUCCCGACACGGGGAGGUAGUGACAAUAAAUACUGAUACAGGGCUCUUUAGGGUCUUGUAAUUGGAAUGAGUACAAUUUAAAUCUCUUAACGAGGAACAAUUGGAGGGCAAGUCUGGUGCCAGCAGCCGCGGUAAUUCCAGCUCCAAUAGCGUAUAUUAAAGUUGUUGUGGUUAAAAAGCUCGUAGUUGAACCUUGGGCCUGGCUGGCCGGUCCGCCUCACCGCGUGUACUGGUCCGGCCGGGCCUUUCCCUCUGUGGAACCUCAUGCCCUUCACUGGGUGUGGCGGGGAAACAGGACUUUUACUUUGAAAAAAUUAGAGUGCUCCAGGCAGGCCUAUGCUCGAAUACAUUAGCAUGGAAUAAUAGAAUAGGACGUGUGGUUCUAUUUUGUUGGUUUCUAGGACCGCCGUAAUGAUUAAUAGGGACAGUCGGGGGCAUCAGUAUUCAAUUGUCAGAGGUGAAAUUCUUGGAUUUAUUGAAGACUAACUACUGCGAAAGCAUUUGCCAAGGAUGUUUUCAUUAAUCAGGAACGAAAGUUAGGGGAUCGAAGACGAUCAGAUACCGUCGUAGUCUUAACCAUAAACUAUGCCGACUAGGGAUCGGACGGUGUUAUUUUUUGACCCGUUCGGCACCUUACGAGAAAUCAAAGUGCUNNNCUNNNGGGGNNGUNNNNNNNNNNNGCNNANNUA